rnacentral:piRNA from 1 species
UACACAAGGGACAGCCACUGAAGAACACC